CCACCCCUAUGCAACUCUAAUGAUAAGUCAUGUAAACUGAAAUGCUUUCAAGUUUUCCUUUAGUGAUAAUGUUUUCCUUCCUUUGGUGAUAACGUUUUCCUCCUAUUGUCUCAAAACGCUAAGGUUUACUCGUAUGUAGGGCUGCAGCUAUCGAUUAUUUUAGUAAUCGAGUACUCUAUCGAUUAAUCUGUCGAUUAAUCGAGUAAUCGGAUAAGAAAUGUUUUGCUCUCACUGUAAUACUUUGCAUUGAAUCACGUUUGCCUCAUUAAAAACCAUCAGUAACACACAAAACUGAAAUAGGCCAGGUCUUUCAAAUGAAUAUUUUUACUGCAUAAAUCAGGAACCAAAAGUUUUACAUUUUACCAUGUAGUUCACAUGAAACUACUGAAGGCAAGGUCUGCAGAUGGUCUUUUAAUUGCUAUGGUAAUGAUCUUUGCAGUUUUCACUAAACCAGUCACAACUAUUUCCAGGCUUUGGAUCUAAUUUUACUUGUUUAAUUAAUAGGCUGAAAUAAUAUAAUUCUUGGAUACUAACAUAAUUUGACAAGCAAAUGUACAUUUAUUCAAUAUAUAAAAGUGUUACAUUUUUAUUUACAUGUUGUUGUGUGUUGGUCAUUUUGCAGCCCUCUGCUGCUUAUCACACGCCUAGCAGGUGGUGUAUAGCAUUAUCACCAUGGAUACACGGAUGUUUGUGUGAUUUUUUUCAUCCACUGCCGCCCGGUUUGUGUCGUGUAGAUGUUGAUUAUGAAAACACUUCGCAAUAAUUUGGAAACGUGAAGGGGGAGCUGCUGCUGCCCGGUGUUUACGGUAAAUAGACGCAAACACCGACCAAGUUGACGCUUCGGUCUCCGAAAACGCCGAGACAAAUUUACAAACAGCCACUAUUUCAAACAACUGGGCUCAUAAUCGUGAUGUAAACACUUACUUUCUCGCUAGAAAAAAUAUUAUUAUUGAAUGAAUUUAUAUAAUUUGUCCGGGAUGCAGUCGUUCUGUGUGGCUUGUGGUAGGACUAUUUAAAUUUUCCCGGCGCUGCGUCCGGCCGGCACGAAAUGCAUUCUGGGGUAUUUAGUAUGUAUGUGUGUAAACGCUCGGGCAGCCGCGGCAUACUCAAAUCAUCUUUGAGUAGUCAGUAGGCAGUAGCUACUGCUUGAGUAGGUAAGUAGAUAGCAGGCAGUAUGCCAUUUCGGACACAGCUUCUGUCUGUCCUCGUUUCCCUCCAUGAUUGAACCAAACGCGCGGCAGCGGAAGGAGCGGAAAGAGCACGCUUCUGCGCAACAGAAAUAACCGUCCGUGUCAAACACCGUGCGCUGCACAUGGUUCCGGAUUUAAACGAUUCCUCGAGGCAUAUAAUUUGCCUCGAGGAAUUUUAUUAAUCGAGUUACUCGAGUUACUCGAGUAAUCGUUUCAGCCCUACUCGUAUGUGCCACAAGAAAAGGCUUUUGUUGUCAUGAGUGUGGUACUCUGAGAUUCAGCGCAUUUCUUGUCACAAAUCAGAUGUGAUAAAUAAGUAAGGCUUGGAGAUGUCGACAAAAGGCAAUUGCU